GCUGCAAAGUGCUGCGGGAAACCGUGGUGUUAGCUAGCUAGUUCUUUGUUGGGUUGUCGUCAGUUUCAAGAUGAUUUGUGCACGCCCGCGUUUGUUUUUCGUCAGUAAUGAAGGCCUGCGCCAUUAAUAUGGCAGAUAUACCGACUGCUGCAGCUAUGUUUCUGCUGUGGAAGUCCUAGAUAUGUUGGGAAAUUAAACUGCGUCACGUUUGGAUUAGUAACCUCAUCUGGUGGAACGAACCAGCCUUCUCAAGUAACGCUGCAGUUUCAGGAUGUUGCUGAAGGUGAAAUGCAAUAGUAUCAAGAAGUACAUCAAAUUGCCCUCAGGCUUCACCAAUUCAGAAUUCAUCAGGGAAGUAAAAAACAAGUUUGGGCUUCCUGAUGUAGCUCAACUUGACAUUUUUGAUGAUACUGACACAGCAGUAGAGGAAGACAUUCUUCUAGAGCUGUUGGAGGCCAAUCCAGACAUGUGCCUGACAGUAUGUGACAGCAUUUACAAUGAAGACUUUUCUUCUCUAGAUCAUUCAACACCAUCUUCCCUCACGGACACCAUAUCACUUCCUUCAAGUGACAGUGACCUUAGAGAACUGGGUAUGACCACAGGCAGAAAUAGAUCCAGCAAAGAAGACAUGAGCAGUUCUGCAACAAAGGCUUCCGUGUCAGAGGCGGAAGGAGGUAAUUGAGAGCUGGAAACGUCUUAUUUUGAUUUACUAUCAAUUAUAAGGUGUCACGUUUAAGCAUUUGGUUCCAAACUCACUUUUUUAUCAAUGAAAAUGUUAUUAAUUUGCUCCCUUCGUAGAUGUUUACCUUUCACAACACUUCUGUUUUUUGUCAUUCCUCUGAACUUUCACUCGUAGUCUAUAUAGACAUGUUGUGGUAUGUUUUUUCUAAUAGACUGAAUUGAACACUGAAACUUAUUUUCCCUUUUCCUGUUAUG